rnacentral:rRNA from 1 species
GACGAACGCUGGCGGCGUGCUUAACACAUGCAAGUCGAACGAUGAACCCGGAGCUUGCUCCGGUGGAUCAGUGGCGAACGGGUGAGUAACACGUGAGUAACCUGCCCUUGACUCUGGGAUAACUGCGGGAAACUGUAGCUAAUACCGGAUACGACCCUCGGCGGCAUCGCCAGGGGGUGGAAAGAAUUUCGGUCAAGGAUGGACUCGCGGCCUAUCAGCUAGUUGGUGAGGUAACGGCUCACCAAGGCGACGACGGGUAGCCGGCCUGAGAGGGUGACCGGCCAAACUGGGACUGGGACACGGCCCAGACUCCUACGGGAGGCAGCAGUGGGGAAUAUUGCACAAUGGGCGAAAGCCUGAUGCAGCGACGCCGCGUGAGGGAUGAAGGUCUUCGGAUUGUAAACCUCUUUCAGUAGGGACGAAGCGAAAGUGACGGUACCUAAAGAAGAAGCACCGGCUAACUACGUGCCAGCAGCCGCCGUAA